rfam:Picea glauca, whole genome shotgun sequence.
GUCUCUUCAAAGACAUCUAACAAAAUUGGAACGUUAUAGAGAAGAUUAGGAUGGCCUAUGUGCAAGAUUGACACACACAAUCGAGAAAUGGUCCAAAUUUUU